UUAUUACUACUUAUUAUAGUACUCCUUACCAGUACUUAGUUUAUUCUUAUAAUUUAUUAAGUAUGUUUUUGCAUGUUAUAUUAAAUUUCCAGCAACUAUAUUUGUUCUGUUUACACUACGUCCAACUAAAUUCUUAUAGCAUAGAAUAUGAGGAUCAUCGUUCCGACAAUUCUCGUAUUUAAAUCGUAAUUUAAAUAAUUAAAUGAGAUUUGUUUAAAGAUUGAAUGUUUAUCUAUUUUUACUUAAAUAUUCAAUGCGAAAGUAAAAUUUAGAGUUAUCGGUUCAGAUUUGAAAGAAC
rnacentral:lncRNA from 1 species